AGUGAACGCUGGCGGUAGGCCUAACACAUGCAAGUCGAACGGCAGCACAGUAAGAGCUUGCUCUUACGGGUGGCGAGUGGCGGACGGGUGAGGAAUACAUCGGAAUCUACUUUUUCGUGGGGGAUAACGUAGGGAAACUUACGCUAAUACCGCAUACGACCUACGGGUACAAGCAGUGGAUCUUCGGACCUUGCGCGAUUGAAUGAGCCGAUGUCGGAUUAGCUAGUUGGCGGGGUAAAGGCCCACCAAGGCGACGAUCCGUAGCUGGUCUGAGAGGAUGAUCAGCCACACUGGAACUGAGACACGGUCCAGACUCCUACGGGAGGCAGCAGUGGGGAAUAUUGGACAAUGGGCGCAAGCCUGAUCCAGCCAUACCGCGUGGGUGAAGAAGGCCUUCGGGUUGUAAAGCCCUUUUGUUGGGAAAGAAAAGCAGCAGGUUAAUACCCCGCUGUUCUGACGGUACCCAAAGAAUAAGCACCGGCUAACUUCGUG
rnacentral:rRNA from 1 species